rnacentral:rRNA from 1 species
CAAUAGCGUAUAUUAAAGUUGUUGCAGUUAAAAAGCUCGUAGUUGGAUUUGUGGCGUACGGUGUGUUCCGGGCACUUGUUGUCUGAGUAACCUGCUGUUGCCAUCCUUGGGUGGAACCUGUGUGGCAUUAGGUUGUCGUGCAGGGGAUGCCCAUCAUUUACUGUGAAAAAAUUAGAGUGUUCAAAGCAGGCUUAUGCCGUUGAAUAUAUUAGCAUGGAAUAAUGAGAUAGGACUUUUUUGCUAUUUUGUUGGUUUGCGCAAGAAGGUAAUGAUUAAUAGGGACAGUGGGGGGUAUUCGUAUUCCAUUGUCAGAGGUGAAAUUCUUGGAUUUUUGGAAGACGAACUACUGCGAAAGCAUUUACCAAGGAUGUUUUCAUUAA